rnacentral:lncRNA from 1 species
GCUGGCUAGGCACUUUAUUAGAGGGCAGUCAGGUCUUCAUGGUCUAGCGACAGGUCCGGAGAAGUGAGGGGAAAUGGAGCAUCUCCCUGGAAACGCUGGGAUCUUAGAAGGUUUCUGCAUACCCAGAUGUGGUUGCAGCUGAGGCUGAGAGUGUCUUCCGUUCCGGCCUUGCUGGAUAACGCAUGCCUGCCAACUCUAUGUAAACAAAAAGCCUGCAUUCUUUUUCCCUAAAGGGGAAAUCAGUGUUUAUCUAGCGCCCCCUAGCUUCAGACGCCUUUCAUACACUCGUUUAAUCACGGCGAUUGUCCAAAUAUAGAAUUCUCCUCUCAAUUACCUGUAAGAGUUGAGGUCAGAGAGAGUAAUUUGUCUAAGUCACGUAGCC